CAAUAAUCUAGAGACCAAUAAUGGGACCUGUUACUGUUAAACGUGUGGAAAAUACUAUUGAAUCCGCAGCAGAGCUGAACCGGUAGAUUCUGGCCCAAAUUGAGUUGUCUCCAGGCAAAUUCUGUCCUUAGACCUCUUGCCAAUGGCACUUGGGACAAAGCUUCAAGCUUCUUCAUCCGUGUCAAUGGUCGGAGUUUAUUCAGGCGGCUUCUUGUCAUUUUAUGUCUAUUCAAGUUUAAAUUCACAUGAUAAUAUACAAUGUCUAUUCACACCUAGAACCUCCGAAUCGAAGACUUUUAUGGCUUAACCAACUCCCCCCCUCCUUGCCCUUGCUUUCAUCCACCUCCUCUAUCUCUGUUCCCCGCCCACAAGCAGCACAACAGAACCAAGUUGCCUCCUAAUAUCCUCCUUAUCAACAUCGUGAGUGUCUUCCACCUCCCCCCACUUAUCCGUCUGCCAUGUGACCUCCAGCGUCGACGCCUCCGCCGCUUGCUCAAUGCCAAACUCCCUGCGCUCCUCCGGUUGCAGGUGGCGGAAUUGCUCACUCCAUUCAAUAACAAACCGUGCAGCAACCAACAAACUUCUGCUCGCCAAAACACCCCUUUCCAACCCAGCUAGCUCGUACGCGGGCAAACCAUAGAUCCAUCCACGUAUAACCUCCUUGGUAAGCGGCAGUUGCGGUGUGGGCAUGAUGCUAUUCUCCUCUAGAGCAGGUCUGAUCUCAAUGCCCGGCCACACUUUUGCUGUCAGGAAAUCGAUGAUCGGCCGAGCAGUUCUAAUCUGGAGAUCUCGCAGCGACUUCUCCGAUUUCUCCUCCCCAUUCAGGUCGUGUACAUCUGGAUCAUGAAUGCUCUUCUCUGGCGCCCAGCUUAGCAGCGUGUCCGUGUCUAGAUAUCGCAUUGUGGCCUUCGUUAUUUGGUUGCGGAUGGUAUUUUGACCGGCGGCAUCUUCCACAGCGAUAUCCUGUGCCCUUGCCGUGAGGGAGGUUAAUGGAAUUAAGUGCUGUUUUAGAGCUUGCUGGGCGGAGACUAGCAGGUCCCAUUCGAGCGCGAUGGCGAGUGCUAGAUGUGGUUUUGAAGCGGGGAUUGUGAUGAUUUUCUUUGCUGGAGUUCGGACGGCGCGGGAGUCUAGGAAUAUUUGAUACCCAUCUGUGCAUAAAUCAUAAAUAAUUAACGUAUC
rnacentral:sRNA from 1 species